rnacentral:tRNA from 1 species
GCUCAGUGGUAGAGUGCUUGCCUUGCAUGCAUGAGGCCCUGGGUUCGAAUCCUCAG